GCCCGGCUAGCUCAGUCGCUAUAGCAUGCGACUCUUAAUCUCAGGGUCGUGGGAUCGAGCCCCACGUUGGGCG
rnacentral:tRNA from 1 species